rnacentral:misc_RNA from 1 species
CUUGCCUCCUUGGUCCAUCAGUAUCCUUCCUGAUUGCAGAAAUGUGGUCUUUAAUACUGCAAAGGUUGGAGUUCAAACAUCUCAAAUGGAAAUGUUGCCAGCAAAUGCUGAUAUGCUUUCAUGGGAGAGUUAUGAUGAAGAUAUUUCUUCUCUGGAUGACAGUUCAACAUUCACUGCUCUAGGUCUCUUGGAGCAGAUAAAUGUAAAAAGGAUUCUGACGA